rnacentral:misc_RNA from 1 species
GAUGAAGAACGCAGCGAAAUGCGAUAAGUAAUGUGAAUUGCAGAAUUCAGUGAAUCAUCGAAUCUUUGAACGCACCUUGCACCCUUUGGUAUUCCGAAGGGUAUGCUCGUUUGAGUGUCAUUGUACUCUCACACUUCUAAUUCCUUUCGGGAUUGGGAGCGGUGGACUUGGGUGUUGCUGCUUUAGUUGUGGCUCACCUCAAAUAAGUUAGUGCAACUCUUGGUUGGACGUAGUACGGCGUGAUAAGUGUCUUCGCCGGCGCCUCUGUAAGGAGGGUGGCCGAUCGGGAGCUCUGUGCUUCAAACCGUCUUCGGACAAUCUUUGACAACUUGACCUCAAAUCGAGUAGGACUACCCGCUGAACUUAAGCAUAUCAAUAAGCGGAGGA